ACGUAGGGUGCGAGCGUUAAUCGGAAUUACUGGGCGUAAAGUGUGCGCAGGCGGCCGAGCAAGUCGAGUGUGAAAUCCCCGGGCUUAACCUGGGAACUGCAUUUGUGACUGCAUCGCUGGAGUGCGGCAGAGGGGGAUGGAAUUCCGCGUGUAGCAGUGAAAUGCGUAGAUAUGCGGAGGAACACCGAUGGCGAAGGCGGGUCUCUGGGCCGCUACUGACGCUGAGGAGCGAAAGCGUGGGGAGCGAACAGGA
rnacentral:rRNA from 1 species